AGCGCAGGAGUGACGCAGAAGGGUAGCCGGCCGCGGAGGUGGUCUUCCGUGGUCAAGCACGCAGGGCGUGGGACAGGCAAAUCCGUCCCGCAUGGGUCCGAGGUGCGAUGAUGGGGGCCUUAUGGCCCGAUAUCCGGUGAUCCCGGCUGCCGAGAAAAGCUUCGGCGUCAGGCUCAAAGCCGCCCGUACCCCAAACCGACACUGGUGGUCAGGUAGAGAAUACCAAAGCGAUCGAGCGAAUCCUGGUCAAGGAACUCGGCAAAUCACUCCCGUUCCUUCGGUUUAAGGGAGACCCCCGAUGGUGAACACACUUGCUGUGGGAGCUUUUGGGGGUGGCACAGACCAGGGGGUAGCGACUGUUUACCAAAAUCACAGGUGCAUGCGAAGGCGCAAGCCGCUGUAUAUGCACUGACGCCUGCCCGGUGCCGGAAGGUUAAGAGGAUCCGUCAGCCUUCGGGUGAAGCGGUGAAUUCAAGCCCCGGUAAACGGCGGUGGUAACAAUAACCAUCCUAAGGUAGCGAAAUUCCUUGUCGGGUAAGUUCCGACCUGCACGAAUGGCGUAACGACUUCCCCACUGUCUCGACCAGGAGCUCGGCGAAAUUGCAGUACGAGUAAAGAUGCUCGUUAAGCGCAGAAGGACGAAAAGACCCCGGGACCUUUACUAUACCUUGGUAUUGGCAUUCGGUGUGGAUUGUGUAGCAUAGGCGGGAGGCCGAGAGGCGCGGUCGCCAGAUCGCGCGGAGCCGUAAGGUGAAAUACCGCUCUGUUCGCAUUGGAUGUCUAACCUCGAACAGUCAUCCUGUUCAGGGACAGUGCCUGGCGGGUAGUUUAACUGGGGCGGUUGCCUCCCAAAGAGUAACGGAGGCGCCCAAAGGUCCGCUCGGCCCGGUUGGCAAUCGGGUGGCGAGUGCAAGUGCACAAGCGGGCUUGACUGCGAGGACGACGGUCCGAGCAGGGACGAAAGUCGGGACUAGUGAUCCGGUGCCGGUGUACGGACCCGGCAUCGCUCAACGGAUAAAAGGUACCCCGGGGAUAACAGGCUGAUCAUUCCCAAGAGUCCAUAUCGACGGGAUGGUUUGGCACCUCGAUGUCGGCUCGUCGCAUCCUGGGGCUGGAGCAGGUCCCAAGGGUUCGGCUGUUCGCCGAUUAAAGCGGCACGCGAGCUGGGUUCAGAACGUCGUGAGACAGUUUGGUCUCUAUCCUCUGCGCUCGUUGGAAUGCUGAGGAGGCCUGCCCAUAGUACGAGGGGACCUGGGUGGACGAACCUCUGGUAUGCCGGUUGUCACGCCAGUGGCACGGCCGGUUGGCUACGUUCGGAAGGGAUAACCGCUGAAAGCAUCUAAGCGGGAAGCCUGCUCCAAGAUAAGCAUUCCGUGGAACCUUCGAGUUCCUGUAGUCCCCAUGCAGAACACGUGGUCGAUAGGCCGGACGUGGAAGCCCCGCGAGGGGUGGAGCCGACCGGUACUAACGGACGAAAGGCU
rnacentral:rRNA from 1 species